rnacentral:rRNA from 1 species
AUUGAACGCUGGCGGAAUGCUUUACACAUGCAAGUCGAACGGCAGCACGGACUUCGGUCUGGUGGCGAGUGGCGAACGGGUGAGUAAUGUAUCGGAACGUGCCCAGUCGUGGGGGAUAACGUAGUGAAAAUUACGCUAAUACCGCAUACGAUCUAUGGAUGAAAGCGGGGGAUCGCAAGACCUCGCGCGAUUGGAGCGGCCGAUAUCAGAUUAGGUAGUUGGUGGGGUAACGGCCCACCAAGACAACGAUCUGUAGCUGGUCUGAGAGGACGACCAGCCACAGAGGAACGAAGACACGAUGCCUACUCCGACGGGAGGCAGCAGUGGGAAUUUUGGACAAUGGGCGAAAGCCUGAUCCAGCCAUUCCGCGUGCAAGAUGAAGGCCCUCGGGUUGUAAACUGCUUUUGUACAGAACGAAAAGCUUUCUACUAAGACUAGGAGCUCAUGACGGUACUGUAAGAAUAAGCACCGGCUAACUACGUGCCAGCAGCCGCCGUAA